GCCUUUCCUGUAGAUCUGUUGAUGGAGAUCUCACCCACGCCUCAAGCGACCUCAGAUCAACUCCAAAUCUGAGAGGAACUUGUACCAACCUUGUAGCAAGAGAUUCCAAGUUCUGGACCUAAUGUUUGGGUAGCUGCAAGAGAGGGAGAGGCAAUAUGGUUGGUGGCACAAAGGGGGAGGGGCUCAAAACCCUAGCGCCUCCCCUGCUUUUCUUGCCUUCUAUGGACCUGGCGGCAAGAAACCCUAGGGUUUCUUGCUCCUGGGGCAUGGAGAAUAGCUGGAGAGAGAGGGAGAAGAGAGAGAGAGAGACUUGGAAGAAAGAGUUUUUGUAUUCUUUUGCUUAAUCAAACCUAUACAGUGCA
rnacentral:lncRNA from 1 species